GUGGGGAAUAUUGGACAAUGGGCGCAAGCCUGAUCCAGCCAUGCCGCGUGAGUGAUGAAGGCCUUAGGGUUGUAAAGCUCUUUCGUCAGGGAAGAUAAUGACGGUACCUGAAGAAGAAGCCCCGGCUAACUUCGUGCCAGCAGCCGCGGUAAUACGAAGGGGGCUAGCGUUGCUCGGAAUCACUGGGCGUAAAGCGCACGUAGGCGGCUUUCUAAGUCAGGGGUGAAAUCCUGGAGCUCAACUCCAGAACUGCCUUUGAUACUGAAGAGCUUGAGUUCGGGAGAGGUGAGUGGAACUGCGAGUGUAGAGGUGAAAUUCGUAGAUAUUCGCAAGAACACCAGUGGCGAAGGCGGCUCACUGGCCCGAUACUGACGCUGAGGUGCGAAAGCGUGGGGAGCAAACAGGAUUAGAAACCCCGGUAGUCC
rnacentral:rRNA from 1 species